rnacentral:tRNA from 1 species
CCGCCACUAGCUCACCAGGACAGAGCAUCAGCCUUUUAAUUUGAUUGUACGGGGUUCGAGCCCCCGGUGGCGGACCA